rnacentral:tRNA from 1 species
GGACAUAUAACUCAGUUUGGUAGAGUAACACGUUGACAUCGUGUAAGUCACUGGUUCAAAUCCAGUUAUGUCCAC